CCGCUAUGUCUAAGUGACAAUAAUGGCUCUUUGUUAAUUCAUUCGCCCUCUUUUUGCCUUACCUCCUUUUUUUAAAGAUGUUACAGGAAGACUGGGAUGACAAAUGGAAGUGAAACCCCUCAUCAUGAAGGACUGGAGCUCUUGAGUAGAGGAUGAACGCACUGGAGGAAACCCUGAGGGAAUGAUUAAAUAAAUGAACCCUGCAUGCCUCAAUUGAAGUCCUGCAAGAAGACAGAACUUGAGUGCAUAUUUUCUGAAUGAUCAAGGCUUGAUCGACCGACGUCAGCAUGAUGACAGACGUUUAAAGACGAGAUCAGCGGACCAACAGGCACCACGGUCUCCUUCCCAGCAUUCCCUUUAUCCAUAUCUCACCCUACAAUGUGCAAACGCCAAGCACUCCCUUUUUUAUGUGACCCAACGAUGCAAAGCUCUUCACGCACUGAAAUGAUUUCAUGGCCAAAGCAUUAAUGAGAUGAUAUCACUUCACCCCCACCUCCCCAAGACUCUGUUCAGCAACACCACGGUUUUCCGCUGACAUCACCGUGCACAAUUCAUGUCAGACGAGGCCCCUGAGCACCCAGAUGCACUCAGGUCCUGUAAAUAGAUGAGUGUUGAGCUAAUUUGAAGUGUAUGCUGAAGAGGCAACAGAUGUAACGCACAUAACACAAUGUUUCUGUCGAAAGCAAGGUCACACCUGCGGCAGGAUGCAUCUCAGAUAGCAGAGGAACGCUGAGAGAUUGACACAGGGAAAGAGUUCAGUGAGUUUCUAUGACAUUGUUUGCCUUUAGCCGAAGAGUCAGAAUCACAAAUGUUUUUUACAAUGGCAUUCACAAUCUAUUUCUUCUGUAAUGUGCCAAAAUUAUGGUGUAGGAUCAGAACGAAGUCAGACCUAAUUAUGCAGGUUUUCAAACUUAAAGGGAUAGUUCACGCAAAAAUGAAAAUUCUGUCAUCAUUUACUGACCCUCAUGUCGUUCCAAACACGUAUGAGUUGCUUUCUCAAACAGUUGGUGGUUUUCAUUGACUUCCAAAGUAGGAAAAGAAAUAGUAUGGAAGUCAAUGGGAACCACCAACUGUUUGAUAACCAGCAAUCUUCAAAAUAUCGUCUUUUUUGUCCAGCAUAAGAAAGCAACUCAUACAGGUUUGGAAUGACAUGAGGGGGAGAUUGAUGACAGGAAUGAUGACAGGAUUGUCAUCUUUGGGUGAACUAUCCCUUUAAAGUUUAUUUUUACAUUGUUAAAAUUGUCAGUGUGACAUCAAUAGUAGUCCAACCUAAAUUUUAUGAAGCUACGAGAAUACUUUUUAUUUGGAAAGAACAAACAUAAACAAAAAUAAAGGUUAUAUUCAACGAUUUUUCUUCAAUGCUCAUUUACGAGAGUAGCUUAAUGGAAUGAACACGCAUGUGUUGUGGUUCUCUCGUCAACGCACGUUAAAGACUGACACAUGAGAGAGGAAAUUGUUAAAUAAAGUCAUCUUUUGUCCUGUUGUGCAUUAAAAGUAUUCUUAUCCUUUCAUAAAAUUAAUGAAGCCCUUACUAUGUUUCUGGGCCUUGAACGUGCUAGUUGCUUUGCUUUCUAUGGAGGGUCAGGAAGCUUUUGGUUUUCAUAAAAAUAUCUUAAUUUGUUUUCCAAACCCCAUGUUUUUUUUUUCCUUUACUCUGAUUAAUUGUUAAUUAUUGCCAUAACAUUUAUAUUUUACAGAAUUAUUUUAGGCCUGAGGUCAGAUCAUGGAAACGUUAUUUUUACAGCAACACAAUGACCAUGACUUUGGGUUAAGAAAGUAAAUAGUGUUGAUUUUAAGUUAGCUUUAGACAGCUCGGGAGGGUCUGGUAGUGUUGCCGUUGGUCAUGUCUCCUGAGGUCUCUCUCUAAAAGACCAUAAAAGGCUCAGGGUAUGACUUCCACCAUACUGUUGCUAAUUACAUACCUCUCUCAUCAUUCAUCUGCAUGAUGUCAGCACAUCCCUUCUGUGUUUGGGGAACUACAGGAGAGAGAGUUGACUAUGAUAUGUCUCACGAGAGCCACUUUAAAAAGGCAUUAUGUAUAAAAUAAUUUGCUUUUUCAUGAAAAAUGUGAGUGGGCACUUCAGCACCACGAGUGUUUACACAUCAGUGUUGUCAGAACAAUGGGAGGCACGGAGACUCAUGAAAAACUACAAAGAAAGAGAUGGCCAGGAAUACAGAUGAAAAUGGAUAUGAGGCAACAUGUUUUAUCCAACCAGUGAGAAACGGUUAGAAAAAAGACCUGUUCCCUGCAAGGUACAAUUUACACAAGAAUUUACACAUUUGGAGCAUAGCAGGCAAAUCCCUGUGAAACAAAGACUGUAGUUUGCUUAAGAUGUUAAAAAUCAAUGUGUGUAACAGAAAAUAAAUUCAUUUUGAACUGAA